rnacentral:rRNA from 1 species
GACGAACGCUGGCGGCGUGCCUAAUACAUGCAAGUAGAACGCUGAAGGAGGAGCUUGCUCUUCUGGAUGAGUUGCGAACGGGUGAGUAACGCGUAGGUAACCUGCCUGGUAGCGGGGGAUAACUAUUGGAAACGAUAGCUAAUACCGCAUAACAGUAGAUGUUGCAUGACAUUUACUUAAAAGGUGCAAUUGCAUCACUACCAGAUGGACCUGCGUUGUAUUAGCUAGUUGGUGGGGUAACGGCUCACCAAGGCGACGAUACAUAGCCGACCUGAGAGGGUGAUCGGCCACACUGGGACUGAGACACGGCCCAGACUCCUACGGGAGGCAGCAGUAGGGAAUCUUCGGCAAUGGACGGAAGUCUGACCGAGCAACGCCGCGUGAGUGAAGGAGGGUUUCGGAUCGUAAAGCUCUGUUGUAAGAGAAGAACGAGUGUGAGAGUGGAAAGUUCACACUGUGACGGUAUCUUACCAGAAAGGGACGGCUAACUACGUG